CUUGUUUGACGGAGCGCGAGAAGAGCCAAAUAUCCCCGCCACAUGUAAUUUCCUUUCGGUUCCACUGAGCCUUCUUGAGGGUAGAUUUUGCCCUUUUGAAUGAACCUGUCAUUAUGCGGGUGAUCCUCACCUUAGUUUUCUGAGCCGAUCAACACAUUUCCGCUACAUCUUUUUCGGUUUUUGAGACAGGGUUUCGUUGUGCCGUUCAGGCUGGCCUUGAACUCACUCUGUAACUCUGAACUUGGUGAUCCUCCUGCCUCAGCCUUGGGAGUGCUGGGGCUACAGGCAUGCAUUCCACGCCACUUCCACCCGGGCUCCCGUUUACGCCCCUUUUAAGCACUCUUAAAUACCCCUUUGUUUGCGCUGUAUUAGAAAAGCCGACCUUGCAGCCGAUGGGCCGCUUCCGGGUUCUCAGUCUGAUCUGGUUCUGUUGGAGGCGCAAUGCUGAGUUCGUCGGUUGCAUCCUAAGCGCUCUCAGUGUUUCUGACAGCGAUGGGAUUUGGUCUUGGAGGAGUCCUGGAGGAGUAAAACGACGUAGUGUGGAUCUUUCCAGGACUUUGCGAAGUUGGGGGUGAAACUCCAGAGCCUCAUUUCUAUUUUUUUCCAAGACGAAAGAUGUUUAACUUUAAAGCUCUUGCUAUGUAGCCCAGCUGGACCUCCAAAUCCCUGCCCAAAUCUUUCUAAAGAAGAAGCAGAGAAUUUGAUAAAAUCCUGGGAAAUGUAAAUGGGGAAAGUAGGAUGUUCAUUGUCACCAAGAAAUACCAUUUAUGUGAAAGAAAAAUGUGUCAGUGCCUUUUAGCUUGGUGUCUUUAGUGCUGUUUUCUCAGCAAAGAACCAUCCGGUUCAGAUGUGGUUUGUCUCUUCUAGCAGCUCGUAGUCUGUUACAUGGAUUCAGCCAUCAUGGACCUCCUCCCUGAAACCACACCUCAGUAACUGCAAACCUGUCUCUUUGGAACUGAAGCUUUUUUUUUGGUCUUUUUCCUUUUUAUUGGUACCGGGGAUCAAACUCAUGACUGCCUGCUUGUAAGGCAGGCACUUAUGCCACUGAGCUAAAUCCCCAGCCCUGAAACUACCUUUUUAAAAGUCCUUAUAUACCAGUCCUAGUCCCAAAAUUAAAGCUAAACGAUGCGUUUUGUGAUAUGGGGAUUGAUUAAUACAGAUUCUCCUAGAUCGCUUUUUAACAUUUACCUCAAGUUUUAGAUACUAAUAAAGAUGAAAAGAAA